GGCCAAAAGUUAGGCAAAACUUUGGCAAAACUUGGAUUCAAGCAUUACCAAAGUCUGACCCAAGUUUCACCCAACUCUUGCCA
rnacentral:pre_miRNA from 1 species